rnacentral:misc_RNA from 1 species
UCCGGUUUAUCACCGGCAGUCUCCCUUAAGUUCCCAGCUUUACCUGUUGGCAAUAAAGGAUAAGGGUUGCGCUCGUUACGGGACUUAACCCAACAUCUCACGACACGAGCUGACGACAGCCAUGCAGCACCUGUCUCUUGGUUCCUUUCGGCACAAGGGCAUCUCUGCCCCCUUCCAAGGAUGUCAAGGGUAGGUAAGGUUCUUCGGGUUGCAUCGAAUUAAACCACAUGCUCCACCGCUUGUGCGGGCCCCCGUCAAUUUCUUUGAGUUUUAACCUUGCGGCCGUACUCCCCAGGCGGAGAACUUAACGCGUUAGCUUCGCUACGUCGCGCAGAACCGAAGUCCCACGCCUCACAGCCAGUUCUCAUCGUUUACCGCGUGGACUAC